rnacentral:lncRNA from 10 species
GACAUAUGUUUUUUUCUUUUUUUAAUCACCUAUGUGAUGUGCCUUUGUUCGCAUGUGUGUGCAUCCUGGCCCUGCCAAAAGUGGGGAUUGUAACAUAUCACUAAACUUAGUACCAAGGUGUUAUGAUUCUCCUUGUUUGCCUGGGCCCUGCAUAUAUUAGGUACUGUGACGUAUGGCUGAGACAAACACCUAGGGCACGAGAGCCUCCUGCCUGGGUCCUGCCCACAAGGAACCUUUUGGCUUAUCUCUGCAUCCAUGAACUAGGAGAUGUGACUCUUCUUUUCUGUCUGGGUUCUGCAAAAACAAGUGAUUGUGACAUAUCAUCAAACCCAGCAACUAGACGAUGUGAUUUUUCUUCCCUGCUUGAGCCCUGGAUAUGCUGUGUAUUGUGAUAUAUGGCUGGGUCCAACAUCAAGGAGAGAUUAUGACAUAUCUCUGGAACCAGAACCUUAGUGAUGUGACUCUUGUCUCCUGCUGAAGCCAUGCCCACACAAGGGAAAGUGACUCAUCACUGGACCCAGCACACAGGUGAUGUAAUUCUUCUGCCUUGUUUUUGUACCCAGGAGCCAUUGUAAUCCAUCUCUGGGCCCAUCAUUUAAAUGAUGUGACUAUCCUUUUCUUCCUGAGCCCUAUUCACAGGGAAAAUAGUGACACAUCUGUGGGCUUCUCACCGAAAUGAUGUGACUUUCCUUCCUGGGCUCACCUCUCAAGGGAAUUUUGACAUAUUACUGGACCAAGCACCUAGGUGAUGUGGCUCUGACAAACGAGAAAUUGUGAUGUACCACUGUUCCACACCUAAGAGAUCUGACUCUCUUUUCAUGAGCCCUGCAUUUAUUGUGUAUUGUGACAUAUGGCUUGGUCCAACGCCUAGGUGAUGUGACUCUCUACUUCUUCCUCGGCCAUGCCAAAGAAGAGGAUUGUGACAUAUCACUGGAUCCAGCACUUAGGUCUUUUCCCACAGGGAGCAUUGUAAAAUAUCACUGGGCUCGGCCACCAGGUUAUGUGACCCUUCUGCCUGUGCCCUGCUUCCUGGAAAUGUGACAUUCCUCAUACAGCACCCAGGUGAUGUGACUCUUCUGCUCAUUUUCUACUUAUAGUUGGGAUUGUGACAAAUAUCCUGGCCCAACUCAUAGGUGCUAUGAUGAUUCCCGUACCUGGAAUCAGCCAAUAGGGAGAUAGUGUCUCUUGUAUUGUAGCCUAGGGAAACAAGUAAGAUCCUGGGCCUCCUCUUUGUAUGAAUGUCAUAAAGAGUUAUCAAUCUGACUGGGCAGUGUGGCUCAUGCCUGUAAUCCCAGCACUUUGGGAGGCCAAGGUGGGUGAAUCACGAGGUCAGGAGUUGGAGAGCAGCCUGGCCAACAUAGUGAAACUCUGUCUCUACUAAAAAUACAAAAAUUAGCCGGGUGUGGUGACAUGUGCCUGUAAUCCCAGCUACUCAAGAGGCUGAGGUGGGAGAAUCACUUGAACCCGGGAGGCAGAGGUUGCAGUGAGCUGAGACCAUGCCAUUGCACUCCAGCUUGGGUGACAGAGUGAGAUGAGGC